CGGGACGAAACUCCAGACUGAUAUACCGAGCGACCGACUGAUCAUCAGUCGAUCGGGGGUUCAAAUCCCUCCGACCCCA
rnacentral:tRNA from 1 species